GUGAAUCAUCGAAUUUUUGAACGCACAUUGCACUCCCUGGUAUUCCGGGGAGCAUGCCUGUUUGAGCGUCGUUAGAAUACAAAAUCCAGGCGUCGCUCUUUUUUUUACGGUUGAUCGCGUCGGACUUAACUCCUCUUUAAAUGUUCUUUCCUGUAAACGUGGCUUAAACUUUCAUCCAUCCGGUACUCUUAAAGCAUCUUUAAAAACAAUCUCCAUUAA
rnacentral:misc_RNA from 1 species